GCUGGGCAUGGUGGCGCAUGCCUGUAAUCCCAGCUACUCAGGAGGUUGAGGCAGGAGAAUCAUUUGAACCCAGGAGGUGGAGGUUGCAGUGAGCUGAGAUCGCAUCACUGCCCUCCAGCCUGGGCGACAGAGUGAGAUGCUGUCUCAA
rnacentral:SRP_RNA from 1 species